UCACAAACUACAGAAUAAUGAAACGUGUGGACAAGAGAGAAAGAGAAGAAUGGGGAAUAAAAGUGAAAAAACGUUGCAAUCUAAUGAACCAAACCAGAAAAACACGCCGAGUCUAGUCAGACACAACAGCAUUAAUAGCGGCAAACCGAACUUUUCUCAUGUUUCACCGAUUCAUUGUGAUGUUUCAGAGUCACAGAAAAGAAAGCUGCGGUGUGGUUCAUCUAACCUGAUAAAUACUCUCCAUCAUGUUCCUUUUUCAACAAAUAAUAAGUUCAUGGUUAAGACAUGCACGGUUACAGUAUAUAAGAUGAAUGUGUAUGAAUGGAUUUUAUAUUUAUAUAGUAAAUGUUUGGAUUUCAUGAAUAUAGUACAUGCUUUCCUGAACACUUCUGAUCUGCAUCUGCAGUUUUACAGUAAUCUUUUAUGUGAUCUGACAUAAACUGCU